UACGAAGGGGGCUAGCGUUGUUCGGAAUGACUGGGCGUAAAGGGUGCGUAGGCUGCGCAGCAAGUCAGGCGUGAAAUCCCCGGGCUCAACCUGGGAACUGCGCUUGAGACUGCUGUGCUUGAGACCGGGAGAGGAUGGCGGAAUACCCAGUGUAGAGGUGAAAUUCGUAGAUAUUGGGUAGAACACCGGUGGCGAAGGCGGCCAUCUGGACCGGAUCUGACGCUGAGGCACGAAAGCGUGGGGAGCAAAC
rnacentral:rRNA from 1 species